CGCCCAGCUCGUUAUCGCCCACAGCUCCCUCCCUCCUCCUCCAUCUCGACGCUGCCCGAGCGGCCACGGGCAAAGCCACGCGGCCACAAGGAUGGUGGCGGCGGAGCUUCGCUCCGUCUCACUGCACAAGGGCAGGGGGGACUGCCUAGCAUCGGGAGGCGGAAACCGCCCAGAUCCGCGCCGACUGGCCGGAUCUGGCGGGGAGGUAGCCGGCGGCGUGGUAGUGUGUUCGAGCAGUGGCGUUUGGCGAGGGUGGUGACGAAGUUUAGAGGCGCUGCGGAGGACGAGGCCACCAGAUCUGCGCCGGAUCUGGCGGGGAGGCAUCCGGCGACGCUCGGCGCCGGCGGGAAGGAUGCCGUGACGGCGGUGGAGGGGCAGGAGGCCGCGCCUGCGGCAGAGGGCAACGACGAGGGCCGGGGGCUGUGGCUGGCCAAUGCCGGUAGAGUGUUGCGGCCGCCUUGCAGUGUGGCCGGCGGCGUCAAGGACGGCUGGCGCACGAUGGAUGCGCAACGGGAGGCGAAGCCAAUGGAGGUGGAGCCCAGUGAGGUAGCUGCAUGUGGAGACUGGCCGGCGGGGGGCACUGGUGCGGUGUGCCCACGCGGCGGCGGAGGUUUAGUUGGCAGUGGAGCAAUGGUGCAUCUGUGGUAUAUUGGUGGUGGAUGGCCAGUGAAAACCCAGCCCGGCCUUGGCCAGACCGAUAACGAUGACGCUCGAGGUGUUGUAGUGCCAUCUUACCCCUCAAGGGCGGUUGCUGAGCGAAAGCCUAGUAUCGGCUCUCUUGAGUCCUUGACGGACGGCGGCGGCGGUGUUCCGUCGCUCCUCUCCUUGGAGACGUCGUCUAGGCAUCCCCUUGCCGAAACCACCCGAGCUUUUGGUGCAAGCACGCUCUAG
rnacentral:lncRNA from 2 species